UGUAGGAGGCGCUAGAGACUGUGUUUUCAACUUCCUAUAUACUGUUUUGCUCUUCUCUUUGAUAGUGCCUGUGGUGCCUGUGGUGAUACUUGCAAGACAAAACACUUCUGUAAAAAAAAUGAAAAAUAAAGAGUAACGUAAUAUGGUAAUCGUCUAUAUACAUCAAUAUACAUAAGUUUACCACUUCCCUCCAUGUACUCCAGCUUAACUGGUAGCGUUUGUUUUGUGGACAAUCACAAUUGUGUGGUAUCUAUUACUUAAUUGCUAUUAAGAAUCUCAGUUCAACGACUGACACAAAUUACUAUUGGAACCCUCAAGGUUUGCAAACUGAAUUCAUGAUUUCAUUAAGUGUAUUCGCCAAGCUCUUUUCACUGGCAUGGGGCGACAAUGUGCAUCCUGUACAUGUAGUGAUAUGUCUACAAAGAGAUCCCGAAAUGUUAGAAAGUGCAAGUGAGAUACAGAAAGCUUUAAGCAACGAAUGUCGUAAAACGAUGAAGGAAGACAAUGCGUACGGUCAAGCAUUGUCAUUCAAGUACCAUUAUUUGAGUUGUAUCGUAGCAGAAGUGAUAAAAUACCAAAUGCAACAGAAGGCGAUUAAAGCAGAGACAGAAAAGUUAGACAGUAUAGAGGGUCUAAUAAGAAAACUCAUGAAAUGUAAUAGCUCCGGUGUACCAGAAUAUCAAGAAGCAUUUCUGAGGAAGACUAUAAGGACGUAUCCAAACAAAGAGAACAUAAUUUAUCUACACAUCGUGACGACCCUGGAUGCUAGUAAUCCACCGUCAGCCCUGUCAGUAAUGACUCAUGCGAUUAACAGUCAAAGACAUUUAUUUCCCAAGUCAAAGAUCUGUGUUACUUGUGGUGAGGACAAAGCUGCCAGAAAGUGCAGCAAAUGUAAAGCGGUACAAUAUUGCGACAGAGAAUGUCAGAGGCUUCAUUGGUUUGUGCACAAAAAGGCAUGCACUAGAUUAGAUCAAAAUAUCGCACCAAGUGCGAAGAUCAGCAACGCGGAUAAAGAACAAAUAAGUAACGCGGGUAAAGAACAAAUAAGCAACGCAGUUAGUUCCAGGUUACGGAACCUGAGCGUUAAUUGAAAGCAAACGCAAGACUGAAUUUCUAAAGAAAAUGAACUACGGUGUGCUGUAUAUAUGUAUCUAAUUUUGUAACAUGAGAAAUUAGUUAAAAAAUAUGUAUCCACUUUCGUUCAAUAGCUUUCAUUUUUUUAUUUUGUUGAUUCACAGAACUUGACGAUACAGUUUUUUAUCAGAGUGGAGUUUUAUCCAUGGUUAUGGAUAAGUAAAGAGCUCUUGAUGUUCGGCUGGACAAGAAAUUCGAAUUUCUUGCUCCACUAAAGCAAGUUGCAGUUCCUGUAUCAAUUUGUUCAGUCUAUUUAUUUCUGCGACCUGAGGAUUCUGAUUCACCACAGGUUUAUUCUUUAUUUUACGCGCUCUAUCGGCGUAUCUCAGAGUGCUCAAAGUUUCGUCCAGAUUAUAAUCCGCUGGACUGAUGCAUG